rnacentral:rRNA from 1 species
GAUGAACGCUGGCGGCGUGCCUAAUACAUGCGAGUCGAGCGAACGGACGAGAAGCUUGCUUCUCUGAUGUUAGCGGCGGACGGGUGAGUAACACGUGGAUAACCUACCUAUAAGACUGGGAUAACUUCGGGAAACCGUAGCUAAUACCGGAUAAUAUUUUGAACCGCAUGGUUCAAAAGUGAAAGACGGUCUUGCUGUCACUUAUAGAUGGAUCCGCGCUGCAUUAGCUAGUUGGUAACGUAACGGCUUACCAAGGCAACGAUGGAUAGCCGACCUGGGAGGGCGAUCGGCCCCACCGGACCUACGGCGACGUCCAGACUCCCACGGGAGGCAGCAGUGGGAACUCUUCGGAAAUGGGCGCAAGCCUGACGAGGCAACGGCGCGUGAGUGAUGAAGGUCUUCGGGUCGUAAAGCUCGGUUAUUAGGUAAGAACAGAUGUGUACGUGACUGUGCGCUUCUCGCCGUUACCGAAGCAGAAGGCCCCGGCUACCUCCGU